CAUACACUUAACAACAGAGCUUCACAACGUAUAAACAAAAACUGACAGAAUUAAAAGGAAAAAUAGACAAAUUCAUAAUUACAGAUUUCAAUACUCCUCUCUCAGUAAUAAACAGAAAAACUAGACAUAAAGUCAGCAAGGAUAUAGAAAAACUGAACAGGUCACCAACAAACAGAAUUUAAUUGAUAUUCACAGAACAUUUAACCCAAAAACAGCAGAAUAGACAUUCUUUUCAAAUAUAAACGGAAAAUUCAUCAAGAUAGACCAGAUCCUGGAUCAUAAAACAAAUCUUAACAAAUUAAAAUAAUUGAAAUCAAAAAAAGUUAAUUCUG
rnacentral:lncRNA from 1 species